rnacentral:rRNA from 1 species
GACGAACGCUGGCGGCGUGCCUAAUACAUGCAAGUCGAGCGGACUGAUUGGGAGCUUGCUCUUGUUCGGUCAGCGGCGGACGGGUGAGUAACACGUGGGCAACCUGCCCGCAAGACCGGGAUAACUCCGGGAAACCGGAGCUAAUACCGGAUAACACCGAAGACCGCAUGGUCUUUGGUUGAAAGGCGGCGCAAGCUGCCACUUGCGGCUGGGCCCGCGGCGCAUUAGCUAGUUGGUGAGGUAACGGCUCACCAAGGCGGGGAUGGGUAGCCGGCCCGAGAGGGGAAGAUGCGAAGCUGGGACGGGAGGACGGCCCGGAACCCUGGGAGAGAGAGACGGAGGGAAUCCUCCGGGAAGGGAGCAGGGCGGAAGGUGGGACGACGGGUGAGCGAAGGAGGCAGUCGGGUCGGGAGGCUGAGGUGGGAGGGAGGAAGGUGCGACGUUUGAAGAAGGGAGCGUAAUGACGGUACCUCAAGAAGAAGCCCCGGCUAACUACGUG